rfam:Bombyx mori DNA, contig: Bm_scaf76_contig31942, strain: p50T/Dazao, build 2, whole genome shotgun sequence.
UUAACUCAAAUUUGUAUGGAGUUGGAACGUUUGCCUACGUUUGCCGCUAGGGGCGCUGUUCCACUGAUCUGCAUACAAAUUUGAUUUA